GGGGUUGUGGCUCAGCGGUAGAGCGCUCACCUCGCAUGUGGGAGGCCCUGGGUUCAAUCCUCAGUACCA
rnacentral:tRNA from 1 species